rnacentral:rRNA from 1 species
GACAGAGGGUGCAAACGUUGUUCGGAAUUACUGGGCGGAAAGCGCGUGUAGGCGGCCCUGCAAGUCGGAUGUGAAAUCCCACGGCUCAACCGUGGAAGUGCAUUCGAAACUGCAGGGCUAGAGUCCUGGAGAGGAAGGUGGAAUGCUUGGUGUAGAGGUGAAAUUCGUAGAUAUCAAGCGGAACACCGGUGGCGAAGGCGGCCAACUGGACAGAUACUGACGCUGAGACACGAAAGCGUGGGGAGCAAACGGG